CAAAAUUUUCAUUCUAGAUAAAAUUAAACUUUUUUUUAUAUACAUGAAAAAAAAAAUUAACAAAAUCAGUAUAAAAAGUUUUUAAUAUAAAAAAUAUAUGAAAAAAAAAAAAGUUAACUGAUAAAUUAAGUGCCAGCAAUCGCGGUCAAACUUAAAGUUAAAUUAAUAAAACGGAAAAUGUAGUUAAAUAAAAGAAAUGAGUUUAAAUACAUUGAUAAGAAGUCAAAUUCUAAUCAAUUUUUUACUCUAAAAAUUUUUGAAUCUAUAAAACCUACAAUAAAAAAAGGAUUCGAUACCCUUGUAUAAAGACAAAAAAUUUAUCCUGGGUAAUAAUAAAAAGUUAUAAACUCAAAGAAUAUGGCAGCAUAAACAAAAUUUAGGGAUACUUGAUUAUUUAAAAUUUGAUAAUUCACAAAUACCUUACUUAAAAUUUAAUUAAUUUCUAUAUCUCCGUUUUAAGAAAUUAAUAAAAAUUAAUAAUUAACUAAAUAUAUUAAUAUUUAUAAAAAUUCAGGUCAAGACAGAAUAUUUUAAGAACAAUUGAGUAUCAUUGUAAAUAAAGGAAUAAAACCCUCUUAAAAAGAGAUUAAUAGAGAACUUAAAAGUAAAUUUGGUUAAAAAAACUAAAAUGAAUUAUAAUAAUUAUGUGUACAAAUCGCCCGUCACUCUCAAUCAAAAUUGAGAUAAGUCGAAACAAAGUAAGUGUAUCGGAAGAUGUACUUAGAUUAAA
rnacentral:ncRNA from 1 species